rnacentral:rRNA from 1 species
GUCCUUUUGUUGAUAAUUUAAGGUCUAGCCUGCCCACUGAAAUUUUAAAUGGCCGUGGUAUUUUGACCGUGCUAAGGUAGCAUAAUCAUUAGUUUUUUAAUUAAAAACUGGAAUGAAAGGCUGGAUAAGAAAAUAGCUGUCUCUGUUAAAUUUAAUUAGAAUUUUAUUUUUAAGUUAAAAAGCUUAAUUAUUAUUAAAAGACGAGAAGACCCUAUAGAGUUUAAUUAUUAAAUAAAAAUUAUAUUUUAGUAUUUAUUUAUUUAUUUUAUUAAAUAAUUUAAUUGGGGUGAUUGAAAAAUUUAAUUAACUUUUUUUAUUUAGAAACAUUAAUUUAUGAAUGAAUGAUCCAAUAUUUUUGAUUAUAAGAUAAAAUUACCUUAGGGAUAACAGCGUAAUUUUUUUAGAAAGUUCAUAUUAAAAAAAAAGAUUGCGACCUCGAUGUUGGAUUAAAAUAAAUUUUUGGUGUAGAAGCUAAAAUAUUAGGUCUGUUCGACCUUUAAAAUUUUACAUGAUCU